rnacentral:rRNA from 1 species
UACGUAGGGUGCAAGCGUUAAUCGGAAUUACUGGGCGUAAAGCGUGCGCAGGCGGUUAUGCAAGUCAGAUGUGAAAUCCCCGGGCUUAACCUGGGAACCGCAUUUGUGACUGCAUAGCUGGAGUACGGCAGAGGGGGAUGGAAUUCCGCGUGUAGCAGUGAAAUGCGUAGAUAUGCGGAGGAACACCGAUGGCGAAGGCAGUUCCCUGGGCCUGUACUGACGCUCAUGCACGAAAGCGUGGGGAGCAAACAGG